CUCAACCAGGGUGGCCCAGGGAGCACUAAUUCCAAGAGGCAGGCCAACUGGUCCUUGGAGGAGGAGAAGAGCAGACUGCUGGCUGAGGCAGCACUUGAGUUGCGGGAGGAGAACACGAGGCAGGAACGGAUUCUGGCCCUGGCCAAGCGACUAGCCAUGCUGCGGGGACAGGACCCCGAGAGAGGACUAUCGCCUCCCAGACAGUGAUGACGACGAGGAUGAGGAGACAGCCAUCCAAAGAGUCCUGCAGCAGCUCACUGAAGAAGCUUCCCUGGAUGAGGCAAGUGGCUUUAACAUCCCUGCAGAGCAGGCUUCUCGACCCUGGACGCAACCCCGCGGGGCAGAGCCUGAGGCCCAGGAUGUGGACCCCAGGCCUGAGGCUGAGGAAGAGGAGCUCCCCUGGUGCUGCAUCUGCAAUGAGGAUGCCACCCUACGCUGCGCUGGCUGCGAUGGGGACCUCUUCUGUGCCCGCUGCUUCCGAGAGGGCCAUGAUGCCUUUGAGCUUAAAGAGCACCAGACAUCUGCCUACUCUCCUCCACGUGCAGGCCAAGAGCACUGAAGACACCCUGGUCCUCCCGGAAGGGCAGUCCCACAGGCAGCGGCACCCAUUUCUGGGCCCAGCCACAGGACGUCCGAUGGGAGAGCUUGUCUGGCUCUACUGAUGAUGGAUAGGCCCCUUCCUGAGCCUUGGUGUCCCUGGAAUGAGGAAAGAUUCUCCAUUCGAGAGAAUGACUGGGAGGGAAGAAGUCGGGGCCCUCCUAUUAGAAGCCCAGACUGGAAGUGAGAGGCAUGAUGGGGAGAGACCAGACUGAAUCUACGGGUGAGCCCUGUAACCUGGCUCUAGGGCACAGGCCCCUCCCCUGGCACUUAGUGGGUCUAAUAAAGUAUGUUGAUUCAUUG
rnacentral:lncRNA from 1 species